rnacentral:lncRNA from 1 species
GUAUAGUAUGGAGGGGAGAGGGGUAUUAAGCUGAAAAGAGAUUAAACUUGGCUUGGUUGGUUCUCCAUCACAAUGGUGCUUAACCAUAUUUUCCAAACUAAAAAUCAGGACGCAUGAUUGGACAGUGAAAUUUAUGCACAGACUUAUUGUAUAGAACAAAUGUUAUUUUCUCAAAAUCAGUCCUGUUCCAGUAAAUCUGGGCUAGAUGGCGACUGUGGGGUGGACUAUAUGACAGCCAACACAAUCAGAAGACCUGGUUCAAGUUCCCCUUCUGACACACCAAGGGCAAGUUCCUUACCCUCUCAAGGUUCCAAUGCAGAGCCACACUGGGAGAUGGAUUUCCUCAGUGGAAGUCCUCUAGACCACUGUGACAUCAGAGGUCCAGUACCUUCUCUAGCAACAACAACAACAAAAUGGAGACUAGUACCUGGGUUGGAUGAAACUAAAAUUCAGGAGUACCGUAUUACUUGCUCAGGAUCACACAGUUUGUUCCUGAAUUGAAGAAUACAGGACGACAAUCAAGAUCGACAGCAGACAAGAGUGGCAUGCUGACCAGAUGACCAGAGUUUCUCCAAUCAACAUCAAAGGACAUGGAAGGACUUUGAAAGUUUGGACUUGUGAUCCUGAGGUUAUGUAAGAAUGCGACAUACAUAUUAACAUCACAUAUAUAUAUAUAUAUAUAUAUAUACACAUUCUACAAAGGAAGAUAUCUCAUGGAAUGGAAUUAAAUUUGACUACUUCCCUACUGAGGAACCUCUUUCUUCUUUCAAAGUGGAUGGCAGUGAGGGGAGAGGAACCAUCAAAGGGAUAUUCAAUUCUGGAUCUAAUUCUCACCAGAAAAGGAAGCACUGAACAAACUGUCUCGGGCUAUCCUUGCGAAAAAGAUGGAGAGAUGCCAAUGGGAUCACAAUGCAAAGAAGUAGAGUCAGCAUGGGCUGCAUGGCAGGACCCAAACAUUAAUCACGAAUAUUCAAUGCCACCUUGGAGAGAGAUCUUCCAUGCAGGGGAAUCUUUCUCAGUGCUGAGUGAACUUCAAAGAACACACCAUCAAGCAAAUGAUUUCAUGUGGGUCUGCUUUCCUCCUUGUCACAUUUCAGCCAGGACAGCUCAUAGCCAGGUCUGGCAGCUAUCAACAGGUGGCAUCAGGCAUCUCUUCCCAGUGUGGCAUCUACUAAGCCAUAGGCAGCCUGGCCCAGUCUCUCAUAGGACAACAUCCCAAAUCAAUACAGAGGGGAACGCCUCUGCCCCACAACUUUAGCGUUGGUCCAUACUAAAGUCUUCCUCCCCAUGGUUCACAAAGUCAUCAUCAUAAUAGCUAACAUUUACAGAUCUUAAGAUGUGCAAAGCACUUUACAUUUAUGUUGUGUAGUUUCUUGCACAUAGGAGCCUUGUGUUAAUGCUAUCCACAAUGCCUUUCACAGCUUUGGAUCAAGAAAGAACUUCAGAAGCUAUCUAGCCUCACUUCCAUAUUUCAUUCCUGUGAAAACUAGGUCCACGGAGGAUAAAUGACCAAGGAAGAUCAAAUAAGGUAAUAUUUACUGAGCACUUUGCAAACAUGUAAGUGCUAGCUAGUUGUCCUUAAUCAUCAGUGUCUGGAUUUGAACUCUGUUUCCUUGAUUCAAAGUCACUUUUUUCACUAUACCAGGCUGCUUUCAUUGCUGCUAUUCCUAGGGAAGCUAACCUCACAAAAUUUAGUCUAGAGAGCAGGCAUAUCAUAAUUUUCUAUCCCUUAGGGAAUCUGAUCUCUAGCAGCAUAUUUAAGUGUUUUUCUCUCAUGGACAGUUGGGAAGGAUGUCUCUCCACCUAUAUUAGUGAUACUCAGUAGCCAAUUCUUAGAUUCUCAAAUCUCAAA